GACGAACGCUGGCGGCGUGCCUAAUACAUGCAAGUAGAACGCUGAAGGAGGAGCUUGCUUCUCUGGAUGAGUUGCGAACGGGUGAGUAACGCGUAGGUAACCUGCCUGGUAGCGGGGGAUAACUAUUGGAAACGAUAGCUAAUACCGCAUAAUAGCAGUUGUUGCAUGAUAACUGUUUGAAAGGUGCAAUUGCACCACUACCAGAUGGACCUGCGUUGUAUUAGCUAGUUGGUGGGGUAACGGCUCACCAAGGCGACGAUACAUAGCCGACCUGAGAGGGUGAUCGGCCACACUGGGACUGAGACACGGCCCAGACUCCUACGGGAGGCAGCAGUAGGGAAUCUUCGGCAAUAGACGGAAGUCUGACCGAGCAACGCCGCGUGAGUGAAGAAGGUUUUCGGAUCGUAAAGCUCUGUUGUAAGAGAAGAACGAGUGUGAGAGUGGAAAGUUCACACUGUGACGGUAUCUUACCAGAAAGGGACGGCUAACUACGUG
rnacentral:rRNA from 1 species